rnacentral:rRNA from 1 species
CGGUCCCUAUCUGCCGUGGGCGCUGGAGAAUUGAGGGGGGCUGCUCCUAGUACGAGAGGACCGGAGUGGACGCAUCACUGGUGUUCGGGUUGUCAUGCCAAUGGCACUGCCCGGUAGCUACAUGCGGAAGAGAUAAGUGCUGAAAGCAUCUAAGCACGAAACUUGCCCCGAGAUGAGUUCUCCCUGACUCUUUAAGAGUCCUGAAGGAACGUUGAAGACGACGACGUUGAUAGGCCGGGUGUGUAAGCGCAGCGAUGCGUUGAGCUAACCGGUACUAAUGAACCGUGAGGCUUAACCUU